rnacentral:rRNA from 1 species
AGAGUUUGAUCAUGGCUCAGAUUGAACGCUGGCGGCGUGCCUAACACAUGCAAGUCGAGCGGUAACAGGUGUAGCAAUACAUGCUGACGAGCGGCGAACGGGUGAGUAAUGCUUUGGAAUCUUCCCAGUAGUGGGGAAUAACCAGUCGAAAGAUUGGCUAAUACCGCAUACGUCUGUAAAGGGAAAGCGGGGGCUCAUAAGACCUCGCGCUAUUGGAUGAGCCAAAGUCGGAUUAGCUAGUUGGUGGGGUAAUGGCCUACCAAGGCGACAAUCCGUAGCUGGUCUGAGAGGACGACCAGCCACACCGGAACUGAGACACGGUCCGGACUCCCUACGGGAGGCAGCAGUGGGGAAUAUUGGACAAUGGGGGAAACCCUGAUCCAGCGACGCCGCGUGUGUGAAGAAGGCCUGCGGGUUGUAAAGCACUUUUAGUGGGGACAAAAAGCUACGGACUAAUACUCUGUGGUCUUGAUUUAACCCAAAGAAAAAGCACCGGCUAACUCUGUGCCAGCAGCCGCGGUAAUACAGAGGGUGCGAGCGUUAAUCGGAAUUACUGGGCGUAAAGCGCGCGUAGACGGUUUUGUAAGUCAGAUGUGAAAUCCCUGGGCUCAACCUGGGAACUGCAUUUGAGACUGCAUGGCUAGAGUAUGGAAGAGGGAAGUGGAAUUUCCGGUGUAGCGGUGAAAUGCGUAGAUAUCGGAAGGAACACCAGUGGCGAAAGCGACUUCCUGGUCCAAUACUGACGUUCAUGUGCGAAAGCGUGGGGAGCAANNAGGAUUAGAUACCCUAGUAGUCC